GUGCUUGCUUCAGCAGCACAUAUACUAAAAUUAGAAAGAGACAGAGGAAGUUAGUGUUGCAGAGAGGGUUAGUGUUGCACCUGCACAAGGAUGGCAUGCAAAUUCAUGAAGAAGUGUUCCAUAUUCUU
rnacentral:snRNA from 1 species